UCGUGGAUUGGUUUGUCUGGUUAAUUCCGAUAACGAGCGAGACCUCAGCCUUUAGUUAGUUUUGUGGAAUUUUCGGAUUUUGACAGGCUUCUUAGAGGGACUAUCGGCGAGUAGUCGAGGGAAGUUUGAGGCAAUAACA
rnacentral:rRNA from 1 species